rnacentral:rRNA from 1 species
CAAUAGCGUAUAUUAAAGUUGUUGCAGUUAGAACGCUCGUAGUCGGAUUUCGGGGCGGGCCGACCGGUCUGCCGAUGGGUAUGCACUGGUCGGCGCGUCCUUCCUUCCGGAGACCGUCCCUACUCUUAACUGAGCGGGGGCGGGAGACGGGACUUUUACUUUGAAAAAAUCAGAGUGUUUCAAGCAGGCAGCUCGCUCUUGCAUGGAUUAGCAUGGGAUAAUGAAAUAGGACUUUGGUGCUAUUUUGUUGGUUUCGAACACCGAAGUAAUGAUGAGAAGGGACAGUCAGGGGCACUCGUAUUCCGCCGAGAGAGGUGAAAUUCUCAGACCAGCGGAAGACGAACCACUGCGAAAGCAUUUGCCAGGGAUGUUUNCACUG